AACUGAUACUACCUGCGGGAACCUGCGGAAGGAUCAUUAACGAAUAUCUAUGGCGUUGGUUGUAGCUGGCUCCUAGGAGCAUUUGUGCACGCCCGUCAUUCAUAUCAUCUUUCCACCUGUGAACUAUGUGUAGGCCUGGAUACCUCUCGCUUUGGAAUCGAAGCGGAUGCAAGGAUUGCUGUGUCGACAAGGCCGGCUCUCUUUGAAUUUCCAGGUUCUAUGUCUUUUUACACACCCCAU
rnacentral:misc_RNA from 1 species